rnacentral:rRNA from 1 species
CCUACGGGAGGCAGCAGUGAGGAAUAUUGGUCAAUGGGCUUACGCCUGAACCAGCCAAGUCGCGUGAGGGAAGACUGCCCUAUGGGUUGUAAACCUCUUUUGUCAGGGAGCAACGCCGGCUACGUGUAGCCGGACUGAGAGUACCUGAAGAAAAAGCAUCGGGUAACUCCGUGCCAGCAGCCGCGGUAGUACGGAGGAUGCGAGCGUUAUCCGGAUUUAUUGGGUUUAAAGGGUGCGUAGGCGGAAUGCCAAGUCAGCGGUAAAAUCGCGGGGCUCAACCUCGCUCCGCCGUUGAAACUGGCGGUCUUGAGUGGGCGAGAAGUAUGCGGAAUGCGUGGUGUAGCGGUGAAAUGCAUAGAUAUCACGCAGAACUCCGAUUGCGAAGGCAGCAUACCGGCGCCCAACUGACGCUGAAGCACGAAAGCGUGGGUAUCGAACAGGAUUAGAUACCCUUGUAGUC